ensembl:lncRNA
GAAGCGGGGGGGCUCCGUGUCCGCCCAGCACCACCGCCAGACGCUCCAGCAGCUAGCGGGCUCGGCUGAGCAGGGUCCGGCCGCGAGCAGGGGCCCACCGACCUCGGCUACACCGCAGAAACCCCCGAGGCAGGAGAGGGUCUGAAGUACCUGUGGAAAUAGCGGAGGCCUGUUGUACAGCUUUGUUCCCAUUCUGCCAUGAUUUCUGUGGAGGAAGGACCAAUGGAAAAAUUUUGAAAUCUCUGCUAUCAGCAGAAUUUCCCUUUUUUUUUUUCUCUAAUCUGCUUCCCUGCUAUUCUUUUCCAGCCAGUUCCAGACUGGUUACCUAAUAACAUACCCUGAUGUCAGUAUGAAAAAUAAGGUAACCAUGGAACAAGAUCAUCUUUUGUCUCCUCCAAGGAAUUGACUAGGAACAUGGUACAAUCCAUAAAACUCCAGUGGCCAGAUAAUUUUCCCAAAAAGUCAUCUCCACAGUGAUUCUGCUGUACAGGUAAAGGAAAGAUGAAAAAGAAACAUGAACAGAGAAGUCACUUUCUUGGAUCUUGUUGUGAAGCCUGGUCCUCUGCAAUACUAUACCAUUUCCUGUGAACUGAAAGAAGUUAAAUAAUGUGGGAUUUAAGUAGUUUCAACUGGAACAAAGAAAUUCAUAUGUUGAAACAGUAAAAAGAAAAUUACUGCAGAAGUGAUUCAUUGUAAGUGAGAUGAAUGUCCUUACAAAGCACAAAUGAGAAAACACAGAAAAAGGAUCAUUGUGCAUAUUAGCAACACUGCUUAUAGAUUCAUCAUGGCUCACAACAAAGCUCCAAAGCUGAAUGCCAUAGUUCAGGCACAAACUCACAAAAGGGCAGCAGAGAGGAAGAAUCAUCUCCAUUGACCUGGUGGUCACUAUUCAUUUGAUGUAGCCCAGGAAGCAAGUGGCUUUCUUUACUGCAAGCAUACACUGCCUGCUCAUUUUGGCUUUUUCAUCCAACACUGGUAAGUCCUUCUCCACAGGGCUGUUCUCAAUCCAUUCAUCACCCAGCCUUUAUACGUGCUUGGGAUUGCCCUGACUCAGGUGCAGCACCUUGCCCUUGGCCUUCUUGAACUUUAUGAGGUUAGCACAGGCUCAGUUCUCAAGCCUCUAAAGGUCCUCCUAGAUGGCCUCACGUACCUCCAGUGUGUCAGCCACACCAGAUCACUCUCUGCAAACUUACUGAGGGUGCACUCCAUCCUAUUGUCCACGUCACUGACAGAGAUGUUAAGUACUACUGAUCCUAAUACCAACCCUUGAAGGACCAAACAGAUCUACUGCUGGUCUCCACAAAGAUAUCUUGCUGUUGACUGUAACUCUUUGAGUAGGACCCUACCCACCAAGUGGACUACCUGUUAAAUCCACGUUUCUACAGUUUGGAGACAAGGAUGUUAUGUGGGACAGUGUCAAAUGCUUCACACAAGUCAAAUCUUGGUAGAUUACAUCAAUUCUACUUCCCUUAUCCACUAGCACUGUAACUUUGUUUCAUAAGACCACCAAAUUUGUCAGACAUUAUUUGCCUUUAGUGAAGCCAUGGUGGCAUACUAGCCAUUCUCCAGGUGUCUUAGCAUAGUUUCCAGGAUCUGCCCAUAUUUCCUGCCUAAUUAACUGCUCAGUCUAAAAAAUAUUUUUUUUUCCCCAAUGAAUUUACUGUGAUUUUUGACUACUUACUAUUUUAUGAAGGUGUGACAACUGGUAGUACUAAACUAUUGUGUGUGUUAAGGAAAGCAUGCAACAUGGUGAUGCUUGAAAAUGAGUAUGUUAAAGCUUCAUCAAAUGUUAGUAUCUACCUGUAGUAGUAAAAGUGUAAGCAGUAAACACAGGAAAAAAGAAAUUAUUUUGUAUCAGAAUUGGGAAGAUUUGGUUCAGUUAUUCAAAUCCUCAUUCAUGUUAUACAUAUAUGUAGUUAUAUUUAACACUUUUUUCCCCAAAACAAUCAAAACACCAACGUUUUCUUCUGCUUUUCCACAACCUUUUAUACAGAAGAUUUCUUCUACUAAAUUAUAAUGUUGAUGGCUUUAGGAAAUAGUUAUACCUCAAAUGCUUGUAUAUGUCUUGUAUGAAUGGAAAGAUUAUUGUAAUUAUCUUUGGGACUGCAUGGUUGUUUUAUUCAUUAUUACAUCAUUAUACUGUGGAGGAACUGGGUUGUAAUAUAUAUGUCCAAAGAUUAUGCAUCACUUAAAAAUAGUUAAAAGGAAUUUAUCUCUUCAUUACAAUUGUAACAGUAAUGAAAAAUAAAGCUGUCAGCUUUCCAGGAACAUUUUGUUUAUUUAGAACCUCUAAGAUUUCUUAGGCAAGUAUGUCACAUAAUCAAACAGAAAAGCUUGGAAUUAUAGAUUCUGCAACACUGUGUUAUAUUGUGUGGAAGUCAUUUAUGAAAAAGAAUAACUAUUCUCAUAGUAUUCAAUGUCAUCUUAAUAAAACACAUGAUGACAGCAGGCAUUAGUUGAAUUGAAGUUUGAAUAUAUUUUAUUAUGAUUGUUUUUGGCAUUCAGUUUAAUGAAACAAUAUUCUUUGGGAAUCCUGACAUUUGAAAACAAAGCUGAAGAUUGUAAUUAUUUUAUGAAAUUAAACAGUUCUCCUUUGUAUAGUGAAUUACAGUAAGUUUUCUUUAUAAGAUCUUAAAUGAUUGGAAUUUCAUUUUAAUUUGCAAAGCCUUUAUAAUAAAAAUGAUUAUGUAUUAUAAGACAAGUAUAUACAUCUAUGUACAUGCAUGCAUUUUUAUAUAUAUAAAUAAAGCAGAUUCUCAUU